UAAUUAUUUUUGAAAGUGAAGAUAACAUAACUCCACAGACAGGAGUGAGGUAUAGUAAUACACCAAGACUUGAUAGAAACAAAAAACUUGUCCAUGGACUAUAGCCUUCUGGGCAAAUAGAACAUAAAAAAGUACUUAUCCUGCAAUUUCAGUUUAAAAUAUCCUAUUUCUUUCAUUAGGCAUUCAGAACCUCCGUGCAGGUUAUUGUUUAGACUUUACUAACAAUAAAGCUAUUUCAAUAGAUGGUCAACUUUACUACAUCUCCUCAAAAAAUUGUAUGGAUUUGAGGAAAAAAGUGGUCAUUGGACAAAAAGAGGCCAACCAAAUAUUCACAGAAUUCCAUGCCAGCCCCUAUGGAGCACACUGUGGAACAGAAAAAACCAAGCUUGCUAUUUCAGCGAGGUUCUACCGGCCUGGAAUGGGGGUGGACAUUGAUAAAUGGGUAAAUAUUAAAUUAUUCCUUUCUAACUUUGUUGUGAAACAUACGAAUGUAUUAUGUUUUGGAAUGCAUUUCUCAUGUGCUUAUUUCUGAACAUCAGGUUUUGCAGUGUGCCCAGUGCCAAUUUAGCAGACUGUCCAUCAAGCAGGAGCCCAAGUACAUCCCAAUAUGUGUGGAUAAGCCUCUGGAACUGCUAGGCAUUGAUUUAGUGGGGAAAGUCACCAAAACCAACCAGGGAAAUGAGUACAUUUGUGUCCUCGUUGACUACUAUACUAAAUGGUCCGAGGCAUAUCCAAUCCCAAAUAAAUCUGCAGCAGUUGUCUCGCGCUGCAUUAUACAUUUUUUCUACAGGUUUGGGGCACCAAAGAGAAUUCUAACUGACCAAGGGACUGAGUUUGUAAACUAGAUCAAUGAAGAGCUCUGUGCCUUCCUCAAUGUGGAGAGAAGCCUCUGUGCCCCAUACCAUCCACAAACAAACGGGCUCGUGGAAAAAUUAAAUGGAAC